ACCAGCACGCAGGGGAGUCCCACCGAGGGGACUGAGAGGCUGACAGGGCAAUGCCCGGUGACGCGACCCUUUGAACCUGACCCAGUUGAUACUGGCGUAGGAAGCUAGGGUGCGCAGGCC
rnacentral:ncRNA from 2 species